GCUCACGGCUUUAAAAAAACUUAGUCGGAGCCAGAAGUAUCGUGAGGACAAUUGCAUGAGCGGUCAUUUUCACCUGAAUGUAACAGCUCAGAGAAUAUUAACAAUUAACAGUUCCACCUUUUCUUACAAUUUAAUAUUUAUUUUUGCAAAUUUUGAUAAUGUCGUAAAUUUGGAUGAGAUUCCAUUGUAUGUUAGUCAAUCUAAAAAAUUUUCGGGUGUGAUGCUGUCGGAAGUAACGAAAAUCUUUUGUGCGCGCCUCUAGAGACUCCUCUAAUAUCAUCCCAAUUGAAAGUCAUAGAUUUUCUAUUAUAUCUGCUACAUGAAUUAAAAUUUCACGGACAGGUGGAGGCAUACAGGACCAGUGCUAACAGUCUCUAGAUUUCCAUGUGUAAGUGCGAAAAGCUUCCGUAUUGACUGGAUAUCUACAGGCCCAUAGUGCGCAAAAUUACGCUAAACCUUCAAAUCAAAUUGACGUCUACGUCAGUUGCUACGGAAACCAUUGUGGGGUUAGGAAAUAGGAACUUCAGUAUCACAUUCGACAAUUUUUAAAAUUUUUGAUGACACUUCUGGAUUAGAACCAACCAUCGAAACGAAUUGCGAAGCACUACUAUUUCCCUUGUUGUAUAGACUAACGCUGGCGGCCACCAUCAACUCUUUACAUGCAUUUACAUCAACAAUUGCGCCAACCUUUUGUACUUCAGUGUCCGUCUUGCAUCUGCUCCAUAAAUUAAACUGGACGUCCAGGUGACAUAUUUACUUUUGGGUCAGAGAGUAUAAAAGUUCCUUCCAACCACUCCUUUUUUUUGCUCAUCAAAUACUGCUAAUAUUCCAUGGCUAGUUCUCCAUUUUUCUACCAGUUUGCUCACAAAAUUUCGUAAUUGCUUUUUUAUUUUAUUGAUUUCAUCGGUUUUGAUAUUAACCUUCACCAAUAAUUUCAUUCAAAACAUAGUUUUUAACUGCGGAAAACUUCUUUGUUUGUACUAUUUCAUUGCGCCAGAUUAAAAACAGGGUGCGUUUUGAGCAUGAAAUUUUAACUAAAAAGAGCAAAAUCUUUAAAUCUUCGAAAAACUAGAAGACAAUUUUACAUAUUCAACAGUCAUAAUAGAGAAUAUAAACAAAACAAACAAUCACUAACGCGAAUCCGCACGAAUUAGCUUAACCGCCAUGGAAGACCGGCGAACACAAAAUAUUGCACAUUAUCUAAAAGAUUGACUUUACGGCCGAAUCAACAUGACCACAAAUACGCAAAAUGCACAGGAACAGUUUAUUACGAAAAUACAUACCUGCUUCUUUCAAUUAAAACACUAAUAUCACCAAAAAUUUAACAUAGUUAUAUAUUUUCCAAAUAUUCACUUGUUUCCGAAAAAAGGCGGGAAAAUGUAUGCAUACACUUGUCGCGCCAUACGUCAACUUUGAAAGCUUGCAGCUGUGCGAAUAUAAAGAAAAAACAAAACAAAAAUUGUUAAGAGUUGGAGUAAUGUAUUGUCCAUCGAAUAUUAAAAAAAAGAAAACGCAAUUUAAAAAUUGAAAAUUUUAAUUAAUCCAUGCCAGAUUGGUCAUUUCGUCCACUGUGCGUAGUUGAGAAUAGUAAAUGAACAUAUGUUAAAGUGGUUUGAAGUCAAAACUAGAUGAAAACAGUUUUUUCACUUUACCAAUAUUUUGAAUAAAUUCACUUUGAUUGACCUUAGACGGCAUAUAAUGGUGUAAAUGCGAAAUAUCUCCAUAAAAUGGAAGCAGAAUAUUUGGACAGCACUAAUAAGAUGAAUUUGAAAACUUAGUAUAUGAUAAUUUUUUACACCUCAAAACUAUACCCGGACUUGGUGAUUCUCUUAUCCUUAGUAUUUUUUUUUUUUUUUGGAACAAUUUCAUUUGAUCUUCCAUUAAAAGCAUUCUUUGUGGCAUUCACUACCUUAGGGCUAAGUUAUCCAUUUUUGAUAAUUCCCUUCCCAUAUUCGAUUAAAGCAUUCCCUACCCAGAGAUUUAUAAUAGAAAAGUAUGGUAUUUGUCGUUGACGGGAGAGGAAAACACAACAACAUUACUCGUAACGAAAUCAUUCAGUCUGCAUUUCCCUUUGUCCUAGUUGAAAUUUCUGCUCUUGGCAGCAUUUGUUCUUCGCUUUCAUUGCGUAGCAUUGCUGAAUCAGCAAUGUUGUCAGCUGUUCUUGUUGUUGAAGCUGUUGCUCCCGCUGCUGCUGUCAUUCUUGAGCUUGAAUGUUGGGGUGCUGAUCGCUGUCAGCUGCAAUGACAGGUUGGUUUCGCCACCGCUGUUCUCUGUAGAGCGGCGAACACAGGAAAAGCAAGUAAAAAAUCAGUUGUGCAAUUUUCUCUGCUGCUGGUGUUGCUGAUUACAAUUUGGCUUUGCUUUUCGUGUUUUACUAUUUCAGCAUCCACAGUGCCACCUGAAAAUCAAUACCACAAAUGGCUCGCGUUACUAGCUGUCAAAGAGCAAAUGCCUGCCUUGAUGUAGUAACAACCUGUUUCGUGGAAUUAUCCAACUAAAAAACUUCUAUGCUACUAACGGUAUCUGCCUUUGAUAGUUCGACAUCUUUAUGCAACGCUCUUAAACCUCUAUGUUUAUUGUGAAGAAAUCAACAAAGCUGUCUUAUUCAAUCAUUAAAACAACUCAUAUAAAUAAGCUACUCAGUAAAUAAUAUUUUUUGACCCAAUGUGACUAAAAAUAAUUUUUCAACAAGUUGGGUGUUGUUGGUCGAGCACAAGAAUCGAUACUUUCAAUUUAAAAAGAUUUUAAUUUAAAAGAUUAAUAAUUUUUACAAUUAAUAAAUUUAUUUAUAUAAUCGCAAUGCCAUGAACGGGUAAUUCAAAUUUAUUAAAUAAUAAAACACACUAUUUACAACGCUGUUUUUCUUACUCUUAGUUCUAGUGCGAUUAUAAUUAGCAACAGUUAAAUCGAUUUUAUGUGUUUUAUUCAAAUGUUUAAUCGCACUGUUAUUAUAUUUCAACUGUUUUGCACAUUUUUUACACUGGAUAUUAGAUGCAUUGUUUACUGUUUUAAAAUAAAUCCACACGUCGCUAAGCGCCAUUUUAAUAAAUAUAUUGAAAAAACUAAUAUUUAGUUGUAAAUAUAUAAAUAAUAAGUACUGGAAAUAAAUAUAUUUAUAUAUAUUUGUAUAUAUUUUAUAAGAAAAA